GUCACUUUGGCGGAGUGGUUAAUCUGGUGGCCUGCUAACCCAUUUCCCUUUGGGAGUGCUGGUUGGAGUCCUGUAGGUGACG